rnacentral:rRNA from 1 species
UACAGAGGGGGCAAGCGUUGUUCGGAAUUACUGGGCGUAAAGGGCGCGUAGGCGGCCCGCUAAGUCGAACGUGAAAUCCCCGGGCUCAACCCGGGAACUGCGUCCGAUACUGGCAGGCUUGAAUCCGGGAGAGGGAUGCGGAAUUCCAGGUGUAGCGGUGAAAUGCGUAGAUAUCUGGAGGAACACCGGUGGCGAAGGCGGCAUCCUGGACCGAUACUGACGCUGAGGAGCGAAAGCCAGGGGAGCAAACGGG